UCUCAUGGUACAAAAAAUUAAAUUUCAGUAUGAAUAACAUGGUACAAAAAAAUGCUACUGUCUAUAAAAUAACAUCUUUUUAUUCACUAUGACAUGUAUAUAUACAGGAAUAAGACAAAUGCUCGAUCUUUAGGAAUUUGCUUCACGC